CAACCAGUUCAGGGGGUACCCCACCUCCUGCCCAUUGCUAGCUGGGAUAGGCUCGAGCACUCCCGUGACUCUUGUGAGGACAACCGGCUAUGAAAAUGGAUGGAUGGAUGGAUGGAUGGAUAUGAACUGGAUGCAAUCAGUUUAUUUAUGCAAUGACAACACUCCUCCAAAUAAGUCUGGAAUUCAUAAAAAUACCUAUAAGCAUUGAAAUAAUAUGUGCUAUAGCAACAAAAAAAAUACUAUUUCUCACUGAAUUAAAACAUAACCUUAAUGGGUUAUUGUGCCACUUAUACAGAAGCCAAAGUUAGCUUAGCUGCUAUGUGUUGCAUUUGGUCCAAAAAUAAGUUUUUUUUGUUAGGGGUGGUGGUGUAAAACUAAUUGUAAGAUUAGAGAAAAACAUUCUAAUUCUAAUUCCAUUCUAAUUCCUUUUAACUCCCACGACCCUCGAGAGAAUAAGCGGCUAAGAAAAUGGAUGAAUGGGCAAUAUUAUUAUCAUUAUCACUAUUAUUAUUAUAAAAAGGUGGUAGAAUCUACCUUUGAAUAUUAUGGACUCUAGUUUCCAAGAUAUUUUGUACAAUAUAAAUAAAAAAUGACAAAACCUACAAUACACAUUACGCUAAUGGAUGGUUGUCCCUUUCGGGGUAGCCACAGCGUGUCAUCUCAGAUGAACGCACAUAUAUGUUUGGCACAAUUUUUACGCCGGAUGUCCUUCCUGAUGCAACCCUUAAUAGACAUUACGCUAAAAUAUACUUAAUUGUUUAUUUUACUUAACUUUGAAGUUUACAUUUAAAUUCAAAUGUCUGAGUACACAGAAAUAUUUGUAAAUGAUUUACUUUCAAUGACAUAGAUGUUUAAGUAAUCAACCUAAGGUGGUACGGUGGAUGACUGGUUAGUGUUCGCCUCACAGUUCUGAGGACCAGGCUUCAAAUGCCGGCCCCGCCUGUGUGGAGUUUGCAUUUUCUCCUCUACCUGUGUGAGUUCUCUGUGGGUUCCCUCCCACAUUCCAAAAGGGAUGUGGGAAGAAAUAAUUAGCCUACAGUUUGUUAGCCUCAUUCUUAGCCACUUCCAAACACAGCUCAUUACUAUUUUCAACCUCCACAGAUGACGAUGCAACACAAAAGAAAAAUGUAACUGAGUUAUUGAUUGAUGGACUGUAAUAUCUAUCCACUUUCUGACCCACUUAUCCUCACGAGGGUUACGAGAGUGCUGGAGCUAAUGCCAGCUGUCAUCAGGCAGGUGGCAGGGUAAACCCUGAACUAGUCGCCAGUCAGUCGAAGGGGACAUCAAAACAAACAAGCAUUCGCACUCACAAUCUUACCUAGGGGCAAUUAAUACAUUUCUGGGAUAUAGGAGGUGGAAAACCCAUGCAAACACGAAGUUUGGCUGGGAUUUGAACCCAGGUCCUCAGAACUGUGUGCUCAAUGCUCUAGAGCUGCGCCACUGUGCCACCCGGAUUGUGAUAUCCAGUAUUCAAUUCAUCUAUCAUUGCCAGUGACAACCAGUGACAAGCAGAACAAAUAAAUGCUAUACCAUUCGGUAGGAAUGUUUCAAAAAAUCCCCAGAAUUACCACCUUUUUUCUUUCCAUUUUUGAAAAUGUUGACAUUGGUCCAUGAGAUCGCAGUAGCUACAUUCAAACCCCCUGUUGCCAGUCAAACAGCACAACAAGUCGUGGCGUCCUUCAAGUAUACAGUAUCAUCUUGUUGAAUUACAGGCUCGAUUUAGAUUUUUGAGUGAGUCGAUUUGUGAGUAAACUGAGGCGAGAUUAGCAUUAUUUAAGAAUUCCCAAUUUCCAACUUUCUGGAUAUUUUUGUCUGGUGGUGUGCAAGGAGAUUUUUGUCAUAUAAAAUGGAUGCCAUAGCGCAAUACUAUUUAGGAUUCGAUACAUACUGCUCCCAGGAUUCGUGGUCACAUUGAGUCUUUUGCCAGUCUAAAAUCUAAAGUGUUAAAAAAAAAAUCGAAUCUCGAAUUUUAAAAAAUACGUGUACUUUUUCUCCAGUCAUUAUCGUCCGCAUUUUUUUUUGAUUUAACGUUAGCAAUGUGGUAACGUCGUAUUGAUAGCUAGUGAUUUAUUUUUAAUACACGCCAUCAAAAGGAGGAAUUCCAUAUAGGUGUAUAUAGGUGUUUGUACUUUUGUACGACAGUACAUUUUAGAGUUUGGACUAUUUUACCUCCUCAAAGUAGUGACAGUACUGACAUCUGGACUAACGGUGACUUUCAUCUAGUGGCCAACAAACAGUUAGCUGUGGAUUUCCCUUGAAAUUAAGGAAUAAGGGUUACCUGGGCCAAGCCACCACUACCCCCGCUGCUGGCCCCUACCUGCUGGCGGUGAUGCCCCAGUUACAGGCCUAGAGUUUGCCCGACAAACAGCCGGGGGGGGGCUGCAUUCUCUGCUAAACAGCAGCCAAGCGGCGCCACCAACCUACAUGAGUUUGCCUUAACACCAUCUGAUCUAGGAGCGUGUCAGAGAAAAAGACAAAAAGAAGAAGAGUUAAAAGGAGUCAGUAGUUUAUUGACCAGUCCAAGAGUACAUGAUGCAGUGAGAGAGGAAAU